AGAGCGAACGCUGGCGGCAGGCCUAAUACAUGCAAGUCGAACGGAUCCUUCGGGAUUAGUGGCGGACGGGUGAGUAACACGUGGGAACGUACCCUUUGGUUCGGAACAACUCAGGGAAACUUGAGCUAAUACCGAAUGUGCCCUUCGGGGGAAAGAUUUAUCGCCAUUGGAGCGGCCCGCGUCUGAUUAGCUAGUUGGUAGGGUAAAGGCCUACCAAGGCUACGAUCAGUAGCUGGUCUGAGAGGAUGAUCAGCCACACUGGGACUGAGACACGGCCCAGACUCCUACGGGAGGCAGCAGUAGGGAAUCUUGCGCAAUGGGCGAAAGCCUGACGCAGCCAUGCCGCGUGAAUGAUGAAGGUCUUAGGAUUGUAAAAUUCUUUCAGCGGGGACGAUAAUGACGGUACCCGCAGAAGACGCCCCGGCUAACUUCGUGCCAGCAGCCGC
rnacentral:rRNA from 1 species